rnacentral:rRNA from 1 species
UGCGUAGGCGGUCGCGCAAGUCGGAUGUGAAAUCUCAGGGCUCAACCCUGAAACUGCAUUCGAUACUGCGUGGCUAGAGUGCUGGAGAGGAGACUGGAAUUUACGGUGUAGCAGUGAAAUGCGUAGAUAUCGUAAGGAAGACCAGUGGCGAAGGCGAGUCUCUGGACAGCAACUGACGCUGAGGCACGAAGGCCAGGGGAGCAAACG